rnacentral:rRNA from 1 species
CACUUAUUAGAUCAAAACCAACCAGGCUUCGGCUUGAGGUUUUGGUGACUCUGGAUAAUUUCUUACCCGAUCGCACGGCCCUAGUGUCGGCGACGCGUCCUAUAAUUGUCUGCACUAUCAACUUUAGAUGGUAGGUGAGAAGCCUACCAUGGUGAUAACGGUUAACGGGGGAUCAGGGUCCGAUCCCGGAGAGGGAGCCUGAGAAAUAGCUACCACAUCCAAGGAAGGCAGCAGGCGCGCAAAUUACCCACUCCUGACACAGGGAGGUAGGGACAAUAAAUAACGAUGCAGAACUCAAUCGAGGCUCUGUAAUCGGAAUGAGUACACUUUAAAUCCUUUAACGAGGAUCAAUUGGAGGGCAAGUCUGGUGCCAGCAGCCGCGGUAAUUCCAGCUCCAAUAGCGUAUAUUAAAGUUGUUGCAGUUAAAAAGCUCGUAGUUGGAUCUCAGGACGCGGACGGAUGGUUCACCUUUUGGUGCGACUGUCUGUCUGGCCUAACAUAGCUGAGGAUGGUUUGGGUGCUCUUAACUGGGUGCUCUUACUGCCCGGCGCAAUUACUUUGAAAAAAUCAGAGUGC